rnacentral:rRNA from 1 species
CAGUCGCCGCGGUAAAACGAAGGGUGCAGGCGUUAAUCGGAAUUACUGGGCGUAAAGCGUGCGUAGGCGGUUUUGACAGUCAGAUGUGAAAUUCCUGGGCUUAACCUGGGGGCUGCAUUUGAGACGUCAAGACUAGAGUGUGAGAGAGGGUUGUGGAAUUCCCAGUGUAGAGGUGAAAUUCGUAGAUAUUGGGAAGAACACCGGUGGCGAAGGCGGCAACCUGGCUCAUUACUGACGCUGAGGCGCGAAAGCGUGGGGAGCAAACAGGAUUAGAUACCCCCGUAGUCCCUGUCUCUUAUAC